ACGCACCAUAUUGCACUUUAGUGACGCACAUAAAUAAACACCCAAGUGGCGCAUUAUCUAAAAGUGCCCAUUAGUAACCCAGAGCAUAAGGUACACAUGGACCCUUGGAGUAACAGUAGUGGCGCACUUUAGCUGCGUCAUUAGUGUCUGGGAUAGUAAUGGCGCACCAGAUGGUGCGCCACUGUUAUGUAGAUUAACAGUGUCGCA
rnacentral:lncRNA from 1 species